rnacentral:lncRNA from 1 species
AUCAAAGGUGAUAUUGCAUUUUGGGUUAGAGGGGUAGCCCAAUUUUCGAUUUUUGAGUUUACCCUUAUUAUAGGAUUAAACUCAGGAAGUGAUGAGGCUAUGCGGCUCAAUAUUCUACAGAAUAAAAACUAUUAAAUGAAUAUUUUGGAAGAAGGUCUAUAGUUACAUCUGCACAAUUGGAGAUUGCAUUUGGAGAUUGCAUUCAAGAGUUGCUCAAAUAUAAAAGAUAAAUUUAGGCUAGGAUUAGUGUUUAUACUGGAGAAUGUGCCAAUGUGCAAAUACCAUAAGACAUUGAUUGAUCUUUUCUCAUUGUCUAUUGAUUGAUCUUUUCUCGUUGUUUGUUGUUAAUAUAGCGAUGCAUUCAACAACUAUCCAUAAGGUCGAAGAUGUUUUCAUGGAUAUGUUAGGAAGGGUAUUCAAUGCCUAAGUCAUGGAAAGAUGAGUGCAAAUAUAAUGGAUAUGACCUUCUAUUGGCCAUCCAGGUAAAUGUUAAAUCUUAUGAUUUUAAUAUAUUAUUAAAUUCUAAUAGUUGUGCGUGUUGUAAAUAUGGGCGUAGGAGUCUAUUUUCGCUUUGAUGGCAGGUCGGCCCAAAGUAAGUACACGAGGUGUCUUCGGAUAAAUCGUUGUUAAGCACUAGAUAUCACGAGUGCCAAAGAUGAACCUGCUAUACUUAGCAAUUCUCGAGUGAGUGUUAUAUUUGUAUUUUAUAUUUGUUUAUCGACUCGAUAAAUGACCAUUAACUCGUUGAAAUAUCAAUACUUCAGCUUGAAGUCCAUAGUGAGUUGACGGUAUUAAUAGAGAAGUGGAUCAAAGUUACAUGUGGGACUCUUCUAUUCAACCUAGUCAAGAUGAUCUAUUAUCUAAUUAUGUUCAGAUGGAGGAAAGUUGUGUAGAUUUAUGUUUUCUAUUAUUACAUGUGAUUUAAUUAUAAUUUAUGUUUUAUGUUGUCAUAAGUGAUUUAAAUGUAUUAAUUGUCAAUCUUCUUAUUUAUGUAGGAGCGCUAUCCAUUUGAAUAGUGAGCUUUGUCUCCUUGCAUAUCUUCUUUAGCCAUGAGAUAUCCUACACGACAUCAAUUUCCUUUUUCUCAUCAAGAUCCUUCCCUAGUCAAUCAUCUACACCUAAUCGAUCUCCAUCAUCGAGUCGUGAGCAUGCACGGCAUUGAUUUUCUUCAGAUGAUUUGACUGAGCUUUUGAUUAGACACCUGACUAUAGUUAUAUGAGAUAAGAUAGGAGCAUAACGAUAUGAGCUAAGAUUUCUAUAAUCAGAUCUAGGAGUAAAGAUAAGAAGGUGGACUUUAUAAUUGAGUUGGAAUACCCCACCGUCAUACCAAUAAGGAGAGUUCAGGGAGGACAAUAGUGGUAAUGUAGGAGAUGGUGAGAUAAGGGGGUGACAAAAUAGGAUGACAAGGGAUGUGACGAAAGUAGUGAUAGGGAUGACAAAGGAUGUCACGGAGGAUGUGAUGGUAACGAUGGAGCAAGAGACAGGAGGAGUGACGAUCGAGACAAUGGAGGAUGUGAUUGUUGUACUGAAUGGCGUGGUCGAGGUGAUGAAGGGUAAUAAGUGUAUUGUAGU